AAAUAACUCCGUCUUUAUUGUGCAAGCUCAAGGUCAAAAAUGACAAGUGCUCCCCGGACUCAAGUUGGGAGAAAAAAAAAACUGCUCGCUCGAUAUUUUCUUUUGGUGACAAGAGCUGGCCCUCAGUGUUACCCAACCCAUUGAAAACGAUUUCAGAUAUGAAAGGGGAUGUUUUGUGUUUGAAAAUGUACAUUAAAUGGUGUCAACAACAUCCUGGAGGUCAGAGAAGAGUCCCCAUGCUGAAUGUGCCUGCUGCGCUCGGAGAUUCACCACCCCCUGAGUGGCGGCUCGGUGAUGGCUCUCACUUUCUCUCGUCAUGUCCCUGGCAGCUUUGACACAGGGAGCAAAACAAGGACUCUGCACCGACACUGGGCACCAGGCUCAUCCAUGGCUUUCAGCCUUCAAGAGGACUGAAGUCUGCCUUUAAGAGCUUGAUGACGAGCUGACUGUUUGAAUCAAGUGUGUCAGGGAAUCAAGGGUCCCAGAGCACCAGGUUUGGGAAACACAUCUGACAUCUCUCUCAGAGUCUAUCAUACUGGUGCAUAGGGGGACCCCGGUGCAGCUGUCCAACAAGUCGUCCGUUAUCUGAGGGAAAUGUGUGUCUGUCCAGAGGUGAGGGCGGCUUUGUGCUCUCAACCAGGCCACCUCUCAGCCUUUGUGCCGGUAACAAGCUCAGCUCAGGCUCCAACGAAGCGAGAAAUUGUAAACUCUCCGGAGAGGCCCAGUGGACAGAUAAGGGCUUAGUGUUUGCUGGCAGUGUGCAUGGGGAUGAAUCUGAUACGGCCGAGUCCCACGCCAGAAUGGGAGUGAUGAUACCUCCCCUUCUAUGGAGAGUUAUGUUUAAUCCCCUUUGCCAGUGUAUUCACUUGCAAAUAUUCCUGUCACCAUUAAUAUGUAUUAACAUCCUUCACACAGUGUUCAAUACAGAUUUAUCAGACUCUAGUUUUCCUCUUGUGCUCACCAUCUUCUCUGUGCUGCUCUUCAACCACAGCUUUUUACCAGAAGAAUAGACCUGAAUGUGCUGCUGAUGUUCAGGCAGCAGACCUUUGCCUGGAGAUACUGCAGGACUGUUCAGUAUACACACCCUGCUGACCAAAUCCAUCAUAGUUUAGCAUUCAUUUGUUCAAAUGCAUUUUUCAUUACCUAUGGAAAAGGAAUAUUACCUUUUUUGUGAACUGUAACUAAUCUAGUAUGAGGGGAAACUUGAUGAUUAUUAUCAUUUUGCCAUGAGCGUAGUGACAUUUUAGUUUUGGUUUUUUUCCAGUUCCUAAAUUCAGGACUACAGAAAAUAACAAACAUUUCAAGAUAAAUGAAUAAUAUUUCACGACAUAAACAAAUGCUUAUGAAUUUAGCAGUUUUUCUUUUCUUUUUUAAAAGUGUGUGAUAUUUUUCCAUUUACCUCAUUUUCACCUUUGCACUGACCCUCACGUGCAUUCUGUAUUAAAACCAUUUUUUGCAUGAUUUGCCUUAAAUUCAUUACAUAUUCAAUACAUUAAUUUACAAUUAGUCAUAGCAGGGUUCUAAAAGCAUUACAUUUAUAUGAUUUAUAUUUAAAUGUAAAAAUGCAAUUUUUUUUUUUGGUUUUUUUUAAACUAAUUUGUUCACCAGUUACUGUGCAUUACAGCACAUUAUGUGAUCUAAUAAGAUAAAGGUCUUUGCAUGGGAUUUGUGUGAGAUUUUGUCUGUGUUUGGUAGUAUAAUCCAGACAAAGCCUGGAGAAGCUCAUUACAGCCUGGUGAGGCCUUAAGCCUGUGUCUGCCUGCAUUAAAGCAGCCAAGAACUGUCUGUCAGCUUCCUGGCAGAGCCCAAAUCAAGCUGUCAAUUACUGGACGUGUUUAUGGAAAUUACAUGUUUGUUAACAUGCUGAAAAAAAUGUGCUCUCGGCUCAAGCAGCAUGUGUUCGGGGAAACAAUUUUGCUCAGAAAUCACCUUUCAAAUGGAUGAAGGUGAUCCUCAUCAG